rnacentral:rRNA from 1 species
CUACGGGUUGCUCCAGUGAGGAAUAUUGCACAAUGGGGGGAACCCUGAUGCAGCAACGCCGCGUGGAGGAUGACGCAUUUCGGUGUGUAAACUCCUUUUAUAUGUCAAGAAAAUGACGGUAGCAUAUGAAUAAGCACCGGCUAACUCCGUGCCAGCAGCCGCGGUAAUACGGAGGGUGCAGGCGUUACUCGGAAUCACUGGGCGUAAAGGACGCGUAGGCGGGUUGGAAAGUCAGGUGUGAAAUCCUACAGCUUAACUGUAGAACUGCACUUGAAACUUCUAAUCUAGAGUAUGGGAGGGGGAGAUGGAAUUAGUGGUGUAGGGGUAAAAUCCGUAGAUAUCACUAGGAAUACCGAAAGCGAAGGCGAUCUCCUGGAACAUUACUGACGCUAAGGCGUGAAAGCGUGGGGAGCAAACAGGAUUAGAUACCCCGGUAGUC